rnacentral:lncRNA from 1 species
AAGGGGUGUCCUUAGAGAAUUCGAGGAGAACCGAGCGUCUUCGGGUCUCCGUUACCACGCCAUCUUCGUUAGGGACGUAUUAAACUUUCCUUUUAGCAGAUAUGACUCCUUGUUCGCUCAAAUACUCCUUGAGGUCGUUAUCGGAGUACUCAACAGGAAAGUCCUCCCGUCGCAUUUUGUUU